rnacentral:rRNA from 1 species
AUUGAACGCUGGCGGCAGGCCUAACACAUGCAAGUCGAGCGGGGAAGGGUAGCUUGCUACCUAACCUAGCGGCGGACGGGUGAGUAAUGCUUAGGAAUCUGCCUAUUAGUGGGGGACAACAUUCCGAAAGGAAUGCUAAUACCGCAUACGCCCUACGGGGGAAAGCAGGGGAUCUUCGGACCUUGCGCUAAUAGAUGAGCCUAAGUCAGAUUAGCUAGUUGGUGGGGUAAAGGCCUACCAAGGCGACGAUCUGUAGCGGGUCUGAGAGGAUGAUCCGCCACACUGGGACUGGGACACGGCCCAGACUCCUACGGGAGGCAGCAGUGGGGAAUAUUGGACAAUGGGCGCAAGCCUGAUCCAGCCAUGCCGCGUGUGUGAAGAAGGCCUUUUGGUUGUAAAGCACUUUAAGCGAGGAGGAGGCUACCGAGAUUAAUACUCUUGGAUAGUGGACGUUACUCGCAGAAUAAGCACCGGCUAACUCUGUGCCAGCAGCCGCCGUAA